rnacentral:lncRNA from 1 species
CAAAUGCUACGAAGAGGCGCCUUCUUCUUCUUCUUCCUUCGUUCUAGCGGCGCCGACGACUUACGGAGGCGACGAAGAGGGUUCAUCCACGGUUGGAACUGGGAUGGUUAGGGAGCCACAGUGAUGGCAAAGCCUCGAGCCCACCAUCCUUUGCAUUCCUCGGUGGUUCACCACUGCGACCACCGCGGUGCCAAGCACAGGUAAAGUACCAUAUCCAUUGAGUGCAAGAUGUUUUUUUUUUUGCUAUUUACUGUUUAUAUCGAUUUGUGAAUUGAACUCAAAGUUCUUAAGGGUGUGUUGUUGUUUUUGAUCUACUUAUAUUAUGUUGUAGUGUUUUGCAUUUCAUAUUACAGAUUGCUUAAAUGAAAAAGGACUUAGUAUGCAGUUAAUGGAUGAUGUGUUUUUUUUUGUUGAAGAGAAGAUAUUGAAAAAUGUCUUUCUUUUUAUUUCAUAAUACCAGGCUUACCGAUGUUAAUGACUAACACAUGUUCCUAAUGUUUAUGGAAUGAGUAGCAUAGGAAAAUAAAACAACAUACAUAAGGAUUUACAAACCAUAAAUUACAAGGUUAAUAUUUUUUAAGUAUUAUGUGUUAUGACCAUGACUAAAUUCCUACUAUCAUAAAUCAUUUAGCAUUUCAGAAUAACACUUGAGAAUGGCAUACAAUACCUGUUUAAGAUUGCUGACACUGGGAUGUAGUAGGAUGAUUGUAUGAAGUUCUAUUCCUUUAUCCUUUGGACCUUUACCUUGUAAUUGUCUGACACGGUGUCCCCUUUUACCAUAUGAGAACUCUGUAUAUAUCCCUUUGCUAGAUUUGUAGGUAUGUGGCAGUAUCUCUGAUUUCUUGUUGGAUAUAUGUGUAGGGAUUAUGCUCUCUGCUUCAUUAAGUGUGUAUGGGUGAUAUCACUAUGUUUUUUCUCUCUGAUUUUCUUGUGGUUGUGUAUGUAAUCUGCAUCCUUUUUAUACUGUUUGUAGGCAGACCCUUAGGCUGCCAAUUUUGAUCCAGUAACUGAUAAGGAUUAUGCUCUAUGAUUACCCUUUAUUACUGCAAUUAAGUUGAUUCUGUAAUUGGCAAUGAUUGCCCUUUAUUGCUGCAGUUAAGUUGAUUCUGUAUUUGGCAAGGAUUAUGCUCUAUGAUUGCCCUUUAUUGUUCCAAUUAAGUUGAUUCUAUAAUUGAAUUCAAUAUACCUUCUGAUUUGCAUUUUUUUGGAAUUCGGACACUGUUUUAGUUGCCAAAUGUCGUGCCUGAUUUCUAUCACUGAUUUACUGUGCUCCUUAUUGCUAUUGAUUGAAAUGCAACUGCCAGAAUGGGCUCCCUUUGUGACUAUUUUACAGCUGCUUACAUUCUCUUUUAAUAUUUCAAAUUGUAACUACCAACAAGGGUAACUAUUUUCUGAUCUUUGAUUUAUUUUUCUUAUCAUGUCUAUCCUCAUUUUUAUUACAUUGAGAUGAUAUUUCUUUCUCCUGAUACCAAACUAUUGCUUGAGCAGAGUCAGAACUUUACCUAAAUCAUUCGCUUGAUCCUCUAGUCAGAUGGUAAUGGUCUUGGGACACGUCAUAGAGAAGGAUGAAGGGAGAGGGAGUAGUAAUGGCAUUAUGAGAAGACUUUGAUGAAGAUGGCUUGGAUGGAGAAAAAAAACUAACUCCUGCCACGAGGAAGAAUGGCUAUGGGACCAUAUUUUUGCAUAUGCUUUGUUUUCCCUAGGUUCAUUCUUAUCUUGCAUUUAGUAGUUGUGCAUAUCACAAAUGUAUUCUGCCACAAUAACUUAGGCCUUGUAUGAUAGCAUAUUUAGUGGGAGAUCAAUAAUCGACAUUGGCUCCAAAUUCAUAGGAACCACGUAUUAUGACAAACGCAGUACACCUUCCAUGGAUAUAUUUUUUUUUUGCUUAUUUGGACUAUAUUGUUUAUUUUCCUUUUUAUAUUCCUUUAAUCAGUGGCUCUUUAUUAAUGAG